ACUCCCAGGCAACAGGACACCACCUACAGGAGCUCUGGGGGCGGGUGCGAGUCACUGCCGCCAUCGUGGGCUCCAGAGGCAGGCACAGGCCACCACCACGAGACCUGCACGCAGGAGCCUGUCCCCGAUGUCCCAGGAGAACUCAGCACCCGCCCUUAGGAAAUCUGCGAGCAGGCACCAGGCCCUACUGCCAGUGUCCCAGGACCGUACAAGGGCCGCUGUACCUGCAUACCCGAUAUCAAGGGGAUAACGGACAGCAUGUUCUGAGGAAAGAGGCCCCAGGCGUCCAAACUAAAAGCGGUCUCUCGACUCUGGAAAAGAGGGUGGAGUAGAAGGACUUGAGCUCACCUCCUCUCAUGAAAACACCAACAUCACAACUAACUGCUGAACAACCAUCGAUAAAAAAGACGACUGGAACCUACCAAAAAAGAUAUUUUACAUUCAAAGACAAAGAAGCCACAAUGAGACAGCAGGAGGGGCAGUUUCACAAGAUAAUCAAAUCCCAUACCUGCCAGGUGGGUGACCCACAAACUGGAAAGUAACUAUAUUGUAGAGGUUCUCCCACAAGAGAAUCCUGAGCCUCACAUCAAACUUCCCAGCCUGGGGGUCGGGCAUCAAGAGGAAGACGCCCCAAAGCAUUUGGCUUUGAAGGCCAGUGGGACUCGAGUGCAGGAACGCCACAGGACUGGGGGAAACAGAGACUCCACUCUUGGAGGGUACACUGGGACCCAGCACAAAGCAGUAACCCCAUAGGAGCUGGGGCUGGACCUACCUUCGAGUCUUAGAGGGUCUCCUGGGCCGGCAGGGGUUGGCUGUGGCUCACUGGGCGGGGGUGGGGGGGAGAGAAUAACACUGGUGGCAGAAGCCCCAGAGAAUAGGGGCUCUCCUACGCUCUGAUUGGUGUGAGCUCUCCCGGAGGUCCCCAUUUUGGCCCUCACAUCCUGGCCCUACCCAACAGCCUACAGUCUUCAGUGCUGGAACACCUCAGGCCAAACACCCAGCAGGAUAGGAACACAGGCCCACCCAUCAGCAGACAGGGUGCCUAAAGCCACCUAAAAACACACCGUUUGACACAGCCCUGCCCACCAGAGGAACAAGACCCAGCUCCACCCACCAGUGGGGAGACACCAGUUCCCCCAACCAGGAAGCCUGCACAAGCCUCAGGAUCAAUCUCAACCACCAGAGGGCACACACCAGAAGAGGAGCUAUAACCCUGCAACCACCAGAAAGGAGACCACAAACACCCAAAGUUAGACAACAUGAGAUGGCAGAGAAAUGUUUCAGAUGAAGGAACAAGACACAAACCUACAAGAACUACUAAGUGAACAGGAGAUAGACAGGCAACCUACCUGAAAAACAGUUUAGAGUAAUGACAGUAAAGAUGAUCCAAGAUCUCAGAAAAAGAAUGGAGGAACAGACAAAGAAGUUAUGAGAGAUGAUUAACAAAGAGCUAGAAGAUUUAAAGAACAAAUGAACAGAGAUGAACAAUACAAUAACCGGAAUGAAAAACACACCAGAACGAAUCAAUAGCAGAAUAACUGAGGCAGAAGAACAAAUAAGUGACCUGGAAGAAAGAAUGAUGGAAAUCACUGCCAUGGAACAGAAUAAAGAAAAAGAUGAAAAGAAAUGAGAACUGUCUCAGAGACCUCUGGGACAACAUUAAACACACCAACAUUCACAUUAUAGGUGGGGGGGGGGGGUCCCAGAAGGAGAAGAGAGAGAGAGAAAGGGCCUGAUAAAAUAUUUGAAGAGAUUAUAGCUGAAAACUUCCCUAACAUGAGAAAGGAAACACUCAAGUCCAGGAAGUGCAGAGAGUCCUGAACAAGAUAAACCCAAGGAGGAACACGCUGGGACAUAUUAAUCAAACUAACAAAAGUUAAAGACAGAAUAAAUAUUAAAAGCAACAAAUAACAUACAAGGGAACCCCCAUAAGGUUAUCAGCUGUUUUUUCAGCAGAAACUCUGCAAGCCAGAAGGGAGUGGCAGAAUAUAUUUAAAGUGAUGAACGGGAAGAACCUACAACCAAGAUUAUUCUACCCAGCAAGGAUCUCAUUCAGAUUCGACAGAGAAAUCAAAAGUUUUACAGACAAGCAAAAGCUGAGAGAAUUCAGCACCACCAAACCAGCAUUACAACAAAUCCUAAACAAAUUUCUCUAGGCAGAAAAGAAAAGGCCACAAAAAGAUACAAGAAAAUUACGAAUAGGGAAGCUCAUGAGUAAAUGCAAACAUAAAGUAAAGGUAGAAAAUCAUCCACACACAAAUAUGAUAUAAAAAUCAGCUGUAAUGAGAAGAGGAGAGUACAAAUGCAGGAUAUAGGAAAUGCAUUUGAAAUUAAGAGAGCAGCAACUAAAAACAAUCUUGUACAUAUAAAGACUGCUAUAGCAAAGCCUCACGGGAACCACAAACCAAAACUCUACAACAGAUACACAUACAAAAAAGAAAAAGAAAUCUAAACACAUAACUAAAGAUGGACAUCAAAUCACAAGACAAAAGAACAGAAGAGGAAGGGAGGAAAAAAGACCUUCAAAAACAAAUCCAAAACAAUUAACAAAAUGUCAAUAAGAACAUUUAUAUUGAUAAUUACUUUAAAUGUAAAUGGAUUAAAUGCUCCAACCAAAAGACACAGACUGGCUGAAUGGAUACAAAACCAAAACCUGUACACUUCAGACCUAGGGACACAUACAAACUGAAAGUGAGGGGAUGGAAAAAGGUAUUCCAUGCAAAUGGAAAUCAAAAGAAAGCUGGAGUAGCAAUACUCAUAUCAGACAAAAUAGACUUUAAAGACUGGUAAGCUGUGACAAAGUGAGAGAGUGGCAUGGA